AGAGCAUUGGCCACUGGAGAGCGAGCACCUUUGUGAGUGACAGCUGGAGCACCUGGAGAGGCAUCCCGGCACAUCCCAAACCGUCUGGCGCCCUCUGCAGAGACCCAGCAGCGUGGGUUUGCCCUGAAAUCCCUCUGCAAAACGAGCUUUUCAGCCGGAAAAACUUUCUGCCUGCUCGGUGGGAGGGUUUGGGGCAGGCAGGAUGCUCGUACGCCCUCCGUGCACCUCUGGGCAGCCACUAGGACUGGUCUGAACUGGGAUUGUACCCAUUUAAACCUCGGCAGCACUGAGGAGACUUUCAUUUAUCACACGUGAGCAGGCAAGCAUAAGGUAGAUUUUCCUUGCACUUCAUUCCUUGUGUAUUUCUGUGGUGCAAUUUUCUUAGUUUGAUUUUUCAAAAGCUGAUGUCUAAACUCUUCCCACCUCAUUAAUUUGGAGAAAUACUUUGGAAUCAAGUGCAAUGCCACUUAUAUUAAUGUUUGGGGCUUCUGUUGCAGGUUUGUAGCUUAAAAAAGUAACAAAUCUCUCCCAGUUUCAUUGUGAGCACACAGAAUUAUUGUCUUGCACCCAUAAUUCAAGACCAAGAGGCAUCACUUCUCACAUUUAACCUCCAGGUGACAGAUUUACAAGGACAGUGUCAAGUGCAGCAGUUUUAAGUGAAUAAACAGCUGGGGAUUUGCUCACCAAGUGGCACAGAUGGAGAGGAAAUGUGUGUUUCAAAAACCUGCCAUGACUCAGGCUCUCACAGCUGUGCUCAUCAAACAGAGUGAGAGACAAGCAGACGUGAUUGAUCCAGCUGCAUUCUGCUCUUCAGCUUCAUCAGGGCCAGAUAUCCCUGGGAUGUCUUCCUCAUCUCCCUGGAAGCUUCCUGGAUCUCCUUGCCCUGUGCUGCUGGGGCUGAGGGAUGGGUGAAUUUGGCAUUUUCAAACCCGACUGCUGCUGCUGACUGACCUCAUUCCUGGACCAGAGAGAACUGAGGGAUGGAAAGACUUAAAGAUGAUUUUACUGAGCUGUGCAUGCUGUGGGUGGAUGGAUAUUGGGACAAAUUGUCCUGCUGAUGCUCAAAGCUCCUCAGUUUGUUGCAGUACUUGCAGUGUUGGAGCUUUCCAGGCAAGAAGGACAGAAAAAAGCUCCACAACCAGACGAAAUCCUUUAAUUUUAUUUACCAGUUAGGUCUAACUUCUGCCUUUCUAAUUUAGUCCAAGUCUUUCCUGCUCUAUUCUUUGUUUUGUGUGGAAGACGGUGUCCUAUGGUUAUAAAAAUUCCAACUUCAGUGCUUUUAUCUGCGCUGCUUUUGCCAGUAACUUCUAGGA